AUUGAACGCUGGCGGCAGGCCUAACACAUGCAAGUCGAGCGGAUGAGAAGAGCUUGCUCUUCGAUUCAGCGGCGGACGGGUGAGUAAUGCCUAGGAAUCUGCCUGGUAGUGGGGGACAACGUUUCGAAAGGAACGCUAAUACCGCAUACGUCCUACGGGAGAAAGCAGGGGACCUUCGGGCCUUGCGCUAUCAGAUGAGCCUAGGUCGGAUUAGCUUGUUGGUGAGGUAAUGGCUCACCAAGGCGACGAUCCGUAACUGGUCUGAGAGGAUGAUCAGUCACACUGGAACUGAGACACGGUCCAGACUCCUACGGGAGGCAGCAGUGGGGAAUAUUGGACAAUGGGCGAAAGCCUGAUCCAGCCAUGCCGCGUGUGUGAAGAAGGUCUUCGGAUUGUAAAGCACUUUAAGUUGGGAGGAAGGGCAGCCAGCGAAUACCUGGUUGUUUUGACGUUACCGACAGAAUAAGCACCGGCUAACUCUGUGCCAGCCGCCGCGGUAAAAC
rnacentral:rRNA from 1 species